UUUGCAACUCCCUUGCCCUUGCUCUUGUAAUUGGACACUUGAAUAAUGGAAGUAGCUCUGGUGGUGGCGUCUCCUCAUCAUUUAUCGUUAUAUAAUGGCCAUUACCAUCCUUAAAUUAAAAUGCCUGUUAGAUAAAUGGAUUAUCAGUAGAGCUAGCAAUUUUUGACACAAUUCGUUUGCACAACACAACCUGACACAUUAAACAUGUUUGGGCUUAGUAUAAAUGGUUUUAGGUCAUAACUAACACAUUUAAUUGGGUUGACCCACUUGAUCCUAUAAGACAAACAAUAGCCUAUUUAUUUAAUCGAGUUAACAAUUUAACCUGUUUUGU
rnacentral:misc_RNA from 1 species